GACCGCGUGGUCUAGUGGUUAUGAUUUGUCGUUCACAAAAGCUGAACAUGUAUUUGUCCCGACAAGGUCCCGCGUUCGAACCGCGGCGCGGUCA